rnacentral:lncRNA from 1 species
UACAUAUUUGUUCGUAUCUAAUUCUUAGGUGGCUCGUAACUGGAAAGCACUGACAAGACCCUCUUUCUGAUAUCUCCAAUUUUGACCCACACUCAAGAAAGAAUACAGGUAGAGCUACUCUUGACUACCUCUCUCUAUAUAUGUAUUGCAGGGGUUAGUACUUUGGACUUUUUUGUUCAGUUAACAAAAAAUGUUAAAACUAUGUGUAUGGAUGUCCAGCAGUGCAAACGAUGAUAUGACCUAUGUAUAUCUUUAUAUCGCUUUGUGCUUCAGUAUAAAACAUAACAUCCUGAUGUACUAAGUAAUAUGUGGCGUAUUUUAGAAGUGGUUUAUGGAGCAAAAUAAUUUCUAUGCAAGCAUGCUGUAUUUAUUACAUUAUCGUGAGAUUUUGUUCUGCCCUGCACAUGUGUAUACAAUAAAUGGUAAAAAGAAGUGUACACGUGUUGCUAGAUAAUUCUAUUGGCAUGCAUGACCAGCAAUUCGAGAAUAGCGCCAAAACAACCUAUUUAUUGUAUAUUUUUAUUAGUGGGAUAUUUUAUAUUCUAUAUUCUAAUUGUGUGCCUUCAAUAACUAAAGGUGGAACCAUUGACCAUGAUUUGAUUGUAUUCUCACCGCAUUCUUGCUUUCAAAGAUGUGCUUGUCAUUAUAAUUUGGGAAAUGUAUAAACAAAAUCCAUGUACCUGUUGGCCCAGACGAACUCUGAUUGCCACACAGGUAAGUACCGACCUAGCAUAUAAAAUUCAGGCUGUUAGCUUUGGAAAUGAAUUGUCAGCAAUGUAUAAUGAUCCAAAUUGGAAAAAUAUGUUCAGUUGAUACGACAAUAAAAAAUUUCAAAAUUAUUGAUCAUACAGUUGGAUUAGCUAUCUCAUGGGCUUCAACCUUUGUAUGUUGCUUCUCUUUAGAUUAUAUUGCUCUAUUAACUUCAUUUUCUUCUUCUUCUCUAAUGAUAUAUUACUCAUGUCAGCAUUUUGCUGUUGUUCUAGAUUGCCGAGAUGAAUGGAUGGUGCAUGGCUAAGUUGAUUGCAAGGUGGAAAAUGGGGCUAGUAGCAGAUAGUUAUCCACUAAUGUUAUAUAAUUUCGUUGUCAUGGUCAAUGUAUAGAAAUCAUGUAUAUACACUUUGGAUUGUGUCCAUGUAAUGCAACCUAUUCUAUUUAAUAUAUGAGAUCUUUCUUUUUACCGGAUCUGGGUUCAUGUGUACUAUCAAUUUUGGUGU